rnacentral:lncRNA from 1 species
UUUUUUUUUUUUUUUUUGUGACGUUCAUGUUUUGUCGUGUUGAUUCCUUUCUCCGAAUCCUAUCAUUGUGUUCUUGCAGCUGUGUGACAUGAGUGGCGCAGUUUUGGAUACGUGUGAGGGGGAUUUUCAGGGUAAGCUGGCCCCGGCCUCGCCCCUCCACCCCGCUAGCUAGCCAGGCCAGCUGCCCGCUCCUCCCCUCCGCUCCUCGUCUCUGCAUGUGGCUCAGACCAUUUGCAUGGCAGCUUCACUCUCCAGCCUUCCCCGGCCUCAGCAAGGAUGAGUUGAUCCAUGAGCUUAUUUGGCUUUGGGGCAUCCCUGGCCUCCUUUUCUUUCUUUUCAUUAGGAGGAGCUGGGGGAGAACCCAGCCAGCCCCUUUCCCCCACCUUCUCUUUCACUGGAAUCACAUCUGCAGCUCCUCCCCCUCCGCCCUCCCUCAGGCUUAGACCGUGGAGCUGUAACAGAUCUGUUCUUCGUGUGAGACUUUUGUGCUGGAGACGCUUGUGCCCAGCACCCUGGGGGACAUGCACCUGCUCACCUUUGUUUAGGAAGGCGUCCUGAGGGGAGGUCAUACCAGGUGCAGCCCAGCACAGGGUCCACACCACAGCUUGGACCCCAUUUUCUGUGGCCCCGAGUUUGCACCAGCAGAUCUCCCCUUCCAGACUUAGAUCCUAACGUCUGGCUUCCUCCAGGCUGAGACUGCUGGCAAAUCCUAAAGAAUCCAUAUCGGAGCUCAUCCCGCUCCCCUUCUCCCUCAUCCCAAGUGGAUAUGGCCAGACAGAUCCUUUCUAUCCAACUCAAUAAAAUUUGGGGGAGCAUUUAUAUCAGUAUCUAUUUGGUCUCCUCCUCCUAUAAAGAGUAAAUCCUCAAAGCAUAACUGAGGGAAAGGCACGAAGGAAGCCAGAAGGACUUUGGUGUAUUUGCCUCAGUAAGUAGGGGUGGCCAAAGCAAACCAGGUCUUCUCCCCGAUUUGGCCCAUGGUCCUGCAGAGACUACCGAGGCGCACCAGGAUAUCUGGUGCUCACAGACAGGUCUCCUGGCGGGUGCUUCCCGAGUGUCCUGGAGACAAGCAGCCACUGUGUCCCUUUUCCCAGGAAUGCUGAUGAGGGCUUCUGCCCCUGAAUCCCAUUCCCUUGCAUAGUGACUCCUCCCUUGGGGGUGUCUUUAAGGGAGCAGCAAGGAUAAAGGUAUGACAGCUCACACAAGUGCUUGUUCUGGGCCUGUCUAAAUUCAUCACCGCCCUGUAUUAUUCCCAUUUGACUGCUGAGGCACAGGGAAGGUAGGAAACUUGUCCAAGGUCAUGCUCUUCCUGCCUGACAUAUUUGGGAUUUUUGAAUCUAAGCAGGGGAGCUUGGUGCUCUUACCUGAUAGCGAACCCUGCACAGUGAGGUGGGCCCCGGGCCACUCAGCCUCACACCUGUGUAGAGACAUGACCCAAGUAGCUGGGGAAGGGCAGAGGUGGGUCUGAGGCCACCUGCUUCAGAGGAACAAGUGGCACUGGCUGUUCCUCCAGCCCCACGCCCCAAAUCUCUGCUUCUCCAUCAGGCAGCAAAACAAAGACUGGAAGGACGUGAGGGCUGCCUGGGGGUUGGGGCAAGGGAGGACCUUUGUUCAAGAGCUUCCAUGUUUGUAUGAUGUCUUUCAGGACAGUGUCCAAAUGUAUGUCUGUACACUUAGUAUGGUAUUCCCCAGUCUGAACAUGUGUUCCCUUCCUCUGCCUCCUGGAGUGCUGCUCCCAGCCUUGCAAAGCUAAGUGACGGCCAGAAACUAAGCAGGCAGGCCGGGCGUGGUUGCUCACGCCUGUAAUCCCAAAACUUUGGGAGGCUGAAGUGGGUGAAUCACCUGAGGUCAUGAGUUCGAGACCAGCCUGGCCAACAUGGUGAAACCCAAUCUCUACUAAAAACACCAAAAAAAAAAAAAAAAAAAAAAUUAGCCGGGCAUGGUGGUGGGUGCCUGUAAUCCCAGCUACUCGGGAGGCUGAGGCAGGAGAAUCGCUUGAACCCAGGAGGCAGAGGUUGCAGUGAGCCGAGAUUGUGCCAUUGCACUCCAGUCUGUGUGACAAGAGCGAAACUCCACCCCCCCCAAAAAAAAAA